CGUGCUUAACACAUGCAAGUCGAACGAGACGAUUUAGAAGCUUGCUUUUAUUGAGUCGAGUGGCAAACGGGUGAGUAACGCGUAGACAACCUGCCGCAAAGAUGGGGACAACAGUCCGAAAGGACUGCUAAUACCGAAUGUUGUAUCUCCUCCGCAUGGAAGAGAUAUUAAAGGUGGCCUCUACUUGUAAGCUAUCGCUUUGCGAUGGGUCUGCGUCUGAUUAGCUAGUUGGUGGGGCAACGGCCUACCAAGGCGACGAUCAGUAGCCGGUCUGAGAGGAUGAACGGCCACAUUGGAACUGAGACACGGUCCAGACUCCUACGGGAGGCAGCAGUGGGGAAUCUUCCGCAAUGGGCGAAAGCCUGACGGAGCAACGCCGCGUGAGUGAAGAAGGUCUUCGGAUCGUAAAGCUCUGUUGUCGGGGACGAAUGUUGAGACUUAGAACAUAGGUUUCAAAUGACGGUACCUGACGAGGAAGCCACGGCUAACUACGUG
rnacentral:rRNA from 1 species